CUGUUAUUAUCCUGAUGCGUUGAUUGAUAGCAGCUAACGCUUCCUCCUGGUCUGAGCAGGCGUUCUGGAUACCGAGGAAUUGGGCAUUGUGACAGCACUUUCCGCAAGUCGCAUGGUUCAAGGCUACUGCCAGGAAUAGCAGAGGAACUGAGGAGGUCAACCGAGUCCACUACCUCAACGCUGGACAGCGAAAGCUUUGUGCUGGAAAGCCUUGAGACAGAGCUGUUUGACAAUGUCCGUGCUUCGAUUCAGAGAACACUUGGAAAACCUGAUAAAGCUCCAGGCGUGGCUUUUGCUAGCUCAAAGACCCCUAGGGCAACAGCAAAGGCACCUCCUGUCACAGGUAGCAUGUUACAAACUCACAAGUUGAUGCGAAAAUGCUAAUUUCUUAUGUUGUAACUUCAGAAAGCACCGUCUGCUCUAUUUUUUAACUAAUGUGAUUGCCGUGUUGCUACUUUCCAGCGAGAAAUGGGGUUGAUCGGAUACCUCCUGUUUCCUGCAGUACUUGUUAAUGCUGCCUCAGAUAAGGCCUCCUGCUUCAACAAGCAAUGGGUCUGUUGGUGGUAGCAAGCAAAGGCCCAAGUCACCCUGAAAGAGCCUGCACCUGGAAGAGUGGUAUGUUACAUGCUUGUAAUUCCAGAAUAUCCAUGAACUUUCUGUAGUUAACUAGAGGUUUAGGAUUUGUGGGAUGCUUGCUACAUUCACCAGGAUGCUAUAAUUGUAGUGAACCAUUUCUUGCAUUUACCGAUAAUUAGCUUACUUGUGAAACCUUAUUGCGAAACUGCACAGAACUAAUUAAAAAAAGCUCCAGUUAGAUAAUUUUGUUAUCUUUUAGGGGGAACAAAGCUGGCCACUUGCUUGUAUAAGGGCAACGGAACGGCAGGUGGGACUUGACUGUUUAGUUGGUGCUACUGGCAUUGCUUGGUGGAAGGGCAUAUGUAAAAAAAUGUUUUCGCUUCUCCAACGUAUGGCGGAGGGCAUUUUGUAGAUAAGAUAUACCAGUAGCAAGUAAUUUGUGCUGUAGUCUUAGUGACGUGGCAUACGGUACGGGUGCCAACAGAAAGCGACCACAUCCGCAACGCAAGACCGCAACCGAGUUGCUUUUGCUGGCUGCCCCAAGCUUGGUCUCAAUUCUGGGAAAUACUUACUACGUAGCCGACUGGUCGUGCCUUAGAAACAAAGGCAGAGAAAGAGAUGAGCGUCACCUUAGCCGCGUGAGCAAAUCACACGGACGGAACCACAAAAUCACGGCAGCUACCGGCAGGCUUACGCCGCUGAUCCGGACCGGAGGCAACCACAACCUCACCUUGGGGCUGCCCCAACCGUGUGCACUCGAUUUAUAAGGUAUGAACAGGAUACAAAAUUAAAAUGUAGUUUGGAUUUGCCAGAUACCAAAAUUACACAAAAUCAUGAUUUAAAAACAUAAAUAAAAUAUAUACAAACAACAUAUCUCCCCUAAUAAUAAAGCACGGAACGCUUAUGUCGUCCGUCGUGGCAGUUUUGCAAAACUGUGAUAUUUUUGUCCCGUUGGAAUAUGAGAGCAUCACUUUAUUUUUGUUCAAUCACAGAAAAUGGAUCACGACUUUGAAUCAAUCAUUGUUGCUUGUAAUAUUAGUUGGAAACUAGAUAUAUGGAUUAGAGAAAUCCAGGUUAAGCAUUGAUCUAGAGAUUGGAUGUCCGAUCCACUAACUUAACUGUAAAACUGUGAUAUUUUUGUCCCGUUGCAACGCACGGGCACUUGUCCUAUCAAUACUAAUACUAAUAUUAAGUAAAACUAGUACAUUACAUACAUCCACCCGAUGUAGGAUUGAUCGAUGAGAUUCUUAUUUGACAGCAGCUAACGGCAGCAAAAAGAAAAACAGGGAACGAGAGCCCGUGAAAGAAAUAAAGCAUGCGCUUGCCUGGCGGACAUAGAUAAUCAAGCUGCCUUUCUUCAUGGAAUGUCUUGGCAAUUCGCUUCAACGCAGACAUCUAUGCACUCAGGGUCGUGUUUACCUAUCAAAUGAUGGCAGUGUACCUGGCAAUCAACAAUGCAGUUCCAGCACUCUUGGCUUGGGGACGGGUUGGCCUCGUCGCAUUCGGCCGCCGCCGGCUCGGCUAUGAGCAGCUGCCCGACGAAGAGGGCCAGCACAAACAUGGCUGCCAUCUUCGGCGAGGCGUAGGAGCUGGAACCCAUUGCAAUCGAUGGAUCGACUCGACCUAGAUAUGCAAUGCACUAUGUAUAUAUGCUUUUAAUCGAGGCUUGACAUGCGAUGAGAGUAGAGACGAGCCUCCUAUUUAUGGCCAUCUUGCUAGCUUAGGAUCUGAUCUUAAUCCAGAUCACCCAACUAAUCAAACUUACUUAUUGUGGUUAUGGAGGGAGUGGUGAGAUUAUUGACCAACUGUAGCAUAAUACUAUAGUACAAGCAUCUCAUAUGAAAUCCGAUUACUCAAGGAUCCUCUCGGUCCCCGACUUAUUCUGUCAACUCCCUUUACACAUUAGACUAGCAGCAUUUGUUGGUUAUGCGUGUUCCUCGUGCUCAGUUUAAAAUCGAGUGACAGGCUGUUGGCAAGUGGCCAUGAUUUGCACAUGCCUCAUGGAGUAGGAAGUAGGAACUACUCUCUCUGUCCUACAAUAAAUGACGUGUCGAUUUAGUAUAAAAUUUAUGUUAUUUAAUAUUGAACUUGCAAUGCAUAUUUUGAGAUGGAGGAAGUACUAUAUUAGCACGAUAAUGGAAUGGCGUGUUGCUGCGCCUCCAUAUUAAAGUAAGUAUUCAUAUAUGUUUUUUCAGAAAAGGAGGAUGCACAGCCGGCCUCUUCAUCUCGACGAUGCAUGCGGCCAUUUUAUUAAUUAUUCAUCAAGACCUUUACAAAGUAAUACAUCAUGUCGCUACAUCUAUCCCAUUGAUAAAGGGGUGUCAAAUGUCCAGGCCAAAUACCAAACAGACAU
rnacentral:lncRNA from 1 species